UACGGAGGGUGCAAGCGUUAUCCGGAUUCACUGGGUUUAAAGGGUGCGCAGGAGGGCAGGUAAGUCAGUGGUGAAAUCUCCAAGCUUAACUUGGAAACUGCCGUUGAUACUAUCUGUCUUGAAUAUUGUGGAGGUGAGCGGAAUAUGUCAUGUAGCGGUGAAAUGCUUAGAUAUGACAUAGAACACCAAUUGCGAAGGCAGCUCACUACUCAAUCAUUGACUCUGAGGCACGAAAGCGUGGGGAUCAAACAGG
rnacentral:rRNA from 1 species